CUGGACAUAAUGCUUUGAUCUGUUGGAUAAAGAUUAAGGUGACAGAUUUACAUUGGUGAUUCUAGCCUGUGAGACAUUCCUUUGAACUGGCUUUGUGAUUUGUCUAGUCAGGAUACAGGGUGAUUAUGGUCAGAAUUGUACAUAUUUCUCUUAAUUAAAUAGGUUAAAUGAUUCUCAGCAAAGUUAUUAAAUUGGAUUCUAAAGGAAUUGACCUUAAUUUAUAGGUAAAUAUCUGCUACUGAAACUGCAAUGAAUUCCUGUAGAUUAUUAAAUGGAUGUUGAAGGAUUAGAAGUUUGAACUGAUGAUUGCAGCUACAGUACUUAGGAAACCUUCAAAGAGACCAAAUUGAUUUUCAGAACCAUUGGGCAAAAUUCAACAAAAUUUGCCACAUCUAUGAAUAAGCAUCCUUUGGAAAAGGGAAAUUAAGGUGAAAAGGGAAAUAAACCUCUUCCAUGGGGAGAUAAUUAAGAGGUGUGCAUGAUGCAACUUUCUAGAUGGUGUGUAGUCCAUUUAUCAACAUGUUUCAAACUCACAUCUAUUUUGGUAAAGGAGUAUAGUCCCCCCUGUUAAAGAUCAUG